GAUGAAGAACGCAGCAAAAUGCGAUAAGUAGUGUGAAUUGCAGAAUUCAGUGAAUCAUCGAAUCUUUGAACGCACAUUGCGCCCGCUGGUAUUCCGGCGGGCAUGCCUGUUCGAGCGUCAUUUCAACCCUCAAGCUCUCCGGAGUUUGGUGUUGGGGCGCCUGGGGCUUUUCGACCUCAGGGCCCUCAAGUCCAUCGGCGGGACCGCCAGGACACUGAGCGCAGUAGUAUUAUUUCGCUCGGUAGGAUCUUCCACGGCGGGUCGAUCUGGCCGCUAAACCCCCCAAUUCUCACCAAAGGUUGACCUCGGAUCAGGUAGGAAUACCCGCUGAACUUAAGCAUAUCAAUAAGCGGAGGA
rnacentral:misc_RNA from 1 species